rnacentral:rRNA from 1 species
CGCCUGUUUAUCAAAAACAUGGUUUUUGGUUUAUAAUAUAAAAUUAGGCCUGCCCACUGAUUAAUUUUGAAGGGCCGCGGUAUUUUGACUGUGCAAAGGUAGCAUAAUCAUUAGUCUUUUGAUUGGGGACUGGAAUGAAUGGUUUAACGAGAUACUUUCUGUCUCAUAAUGAUAUAUUGAAUUUAACUUUUGAGUUAAAAGGCUUAAAUAAUUUUAAAGGACGAGAAGACCCUAUAGAGCUUUAUAUAAUUUAUAUUUAUAUAUAUUUGGUAAUUUUUAUUAAUGAUUAUAAAUUUUAUUUUAUUGGGGUGAUGUAAAGAAUUAAUAAACUCUUUAUUUAUAAAUACAUUAAUUUAUGGUUAUAUGAUCCAGUAUUAUUGAUUAUAAGAUUAAGUUACCUUAGGGAUAACAGCGUAAUUUUUUUUGAGAGUUCAUAUCUACAUAAAAGAUUGCGACCUCGAUGUUGGAUUAAGGUAUAGUAUUAGGUGUAGCAUUUUAAUAUUUAAGUCUGUUCGACUUGUUAUUCCUUACGUGAUCUGAGUUCAGACCGG